CUGACCUAUGAAUUGACAGCCAGUGCCUUGGGCUCCCCUCUGGCUGCCAAUACCAUAGGUCACAG
rnacentral:pre_miRNA from 1 species